rnacentral:ncRNA from 1 species
UACAGGGGUGCCUUUACAGGCUGAGAUCACACCCUCAGAACUUGAACCGGGUCAUGCCGGCGUAAGGAGAUCAUUA